rnacentral:lncRNA from 1 species
GGUUGUUGCCCUGAAGGUGAAACGUGGCAGUUAAAAAGGGGGGGGUGGGGCAAAAUUCCGCUCGCAGUCACUGCGAGUAACUCCUCCCAGAUGGAUGCUGUGCGGACGGCAAUUGUAAACUCUGGACAAAAGAGUCUUUCAAGCAGCAGAAGUUUAACAUUUUGAUGAAGUUCAAUAUGUCAAACUUUUCUCUUGUGGAUCAUGCAUUUUCUGUCUUAUCUAAGAAAUUUUUGCUUCACUCAAGAAUAAUUAUGUGGAGUACCAUCCAGGUCAAUCUCCAAUUACAACCCCAUUCUUCUCUCCAAGAGCACUGACCAUCUCGAUUUUGCAGUAAUGAUUCUCUUGCUCUCAUUUAAAGACUUACUAUUGUGCUGUAUCUGGACAUAUGGGAUGCUUCCAACAGCAUUACAAACAACGCUCCUCUGAACAAUCUUGACUGUAUCUCCUGCUGCAGGUCUUCAGCUUUAAUAAUGUCACACUGUUUUCCACGGUGCUUGCGCCCCUUCGUAUUCCCACCAGCAGUAAACGAGUGCCGAUAGCUCUACAUUUCAACCAACACGUGGAAUUACAAUGCGUUUUAAUUUCUGUUGCCAAUUUUGUGCAUGUAUGAUAGAGAUCUACUUUCCAUCGUGUGGGAUCCUGGAUUUUGUUUCAUGUCCAUGUUCAAUUGUAAAAAUUACACUAUAUGUUUUUAAAAAGCAAAUUUGUCUUUACAAGACCAUUUUAAAAUCUUUGCAUACAAAUAUGUUAGGUGCUUACAGAUUUUUUUCUUCUGAAAAAUUUCCUUAUAAAAAUAGAAUGUGCUAUUCAUCAGCAUGUCCUAUUUUUGGGGCAAAUAUGGAUGGAUGGCAGAGCUAGAAUUUUAACCUGUGUGUCUCUCUUACUCCAGGCUCUUUCUCUUGUCUUUAGGAGAGCAUGGUGGCAGGCAGCUGGUCUUUUCUUGUUUUAUUUUGAUAUAAUUUUAAGCAACUUGCUCUAGUGGGAGCUCCUGAUGGCUGCCCCCUAGUGGACUCCAGCGAGACUGCGCUCACCGGAUUGUAAGACGCUCCCCCUGCCUCACUCUGCUCAUUCCCGCUGAAGGGCAAGGCCUCUGCUCUGUGUUAGCACACUGCUUCCAGCAGAGUGUAAACAAAUCGAUAAUCCCGUGUGGCCACGGGGUAAAGAAGUGACAUUCUUACCCCUGCAGAAGGAGUACACUCUUGGGGACCGAGAUCAAGGUGGGCCUAUAGCGUCACCGCUUUGGUUUCAAAUUUGGUUGGGUAUCAGACUGAAGAGGAACAGCAGGCUUUAACUUAAUACGGUUUCUCAACCUCAGCACUAUUGACAUUUUGAGUUAGAUAACCUUUUGUUGUGGGGGUUGUCCUGUGCAUCGUACGAUGUUUAACAGCAUCCUUGGCCUCCACUCACUAGAUGCCAAUAGCAUCCUUCCUCUAGUUGUGACAGCCCAAAAUGUCUCCAGACAUUGCCAAAUGUCCCUUGGUGGACAAAAUAGGCCCAAUUGAGAAACACUCUUAUAGGGGGAUAGAAAGCAGGAGAUUCAGCUCGCACAGUUCUCCAUCCCGUCAGGAGGGCCAGCAGUACCAGGUACCGCACAGCGUCUGUUGCCCCCUCACCACACAGCGCGUGAGCUGCCCUGACCAGAGCCAAGGUGUGCGUGAGUCACCUUCAUACGGAGAAGCCUUGGCCUUGAUUUAGCACCAAUCUUUUAUGUCAUAUUAGUCACAUGGGCCUGAGACGAGCAUGCAGAUUCAGAGAGCCUCCGAUACAGGUGCAUUUCCACAGGGCAGAAGAAACUGUCACAACACUCCACGCUUCUCCUGCACUGGCAGAACUCAGAGACCUGAGGUCGCUGCCAGGUAGGCCUGCCCCAGCCCAGGCCUGAAACAAAUUAACCCUUUCCUCACACUGCCACAAAACCCCACCAAGCACGGUAGAGUUGGUUUGUUAAGUGCUUCCCCACCUUGCAGAGAUGCUGUCUCGCCACCACCCCACCAAAAAAAGACCAAACCUCAGGCUUCUGUGUUACCAGGACCUGCAUAACCUUGGCAGCCUCCAUCUAAGUCUACUUUCAGCUCCUCCAAUCCCUACAUCCCGAUGAACUUCGUGGGGCCAUCCAAAAUCUAGGCUUCUGGAGUGGCUUGCGGUGGCUUACUUUGCUCGUCCAUUUAAACUCCUUUAUAUCACGUACAUUGGCUGAGUUAAGGUACAUUGCCUAUAUCUGGAAACAUUUGUCAGCCUGUAGAGACAUCUUGAAACGUUCCCUUGAAAGAAAAGUUUGGGGAAAUUCACAGGCCAUGAUUCCACGCCGGUGGGACACCACGAUGCUUUCAAACUCUGGUGGCUUCUUACAUGGCAAAGUAGUCUAGGGAACAUUGGCAGCUGUUGGAAAUGUGCUGGGGGCCAAGGAAAAUCAAAGAGUUGCCCCUCCUUCUUGUUAAAUGCCUCAGACCCUCAGAGAUCCUUACUUUACUCCUCUCCCAGGGCCAUAGAGGAAUUCAGGGGAAACAAUCUUUUACCCCCAGUUUAGGUUGCUGGAAGGAUAACUUGUAAACUUGGAUUUACUGAUGGCCAUUGGGGAGACCCAGCUUGGAACGGAGUUUGUCCAGUGGAGUUCCCCUAGAAGCAGAUCCUGCGACAAGGAUAUUAGCCCUGAGCUAACUACUGCCAAUCCUCCUCUCCCUGCUGAGGAAGACCGGCCCCAAGCCAACAUCCUCCGUGCCCAUCUUCCUCCACUCCAUACAUGGGAUGCCCACCACAGCAUGACACCAAGCGGUGCCAUGUCUGCACCCGGGAUCCAAACUGGUGAACCCCAGGCCGCCGAGAAGCGGAACGUGAGAAUGCAACCGCUGCGCCACUGGGCCGGCCCCUCACUUCUCUUGAAUCGAUGGAACCUGAGUUCGAGCCCUGGUCAACUCUGCCAUUUCCUGUCCAGACUGAUCCCUGGGACCAAGUAUUGGAGAAAAAGGCAAGUCUGCAGUUUACUAAAGCUGUGGACAUCACUUAACAGUUCCGAGGCAGCAGUUCUGAUCAGCAGGAUGGCUCUAAUCUGCAUGAUUUUCCUGGGACCCAAGUUCCUUCCAUCAUGAUGCUUUGCCAUGUUAGGCCACUAACCCUGUAUGCACAGUCAAGGAUUCCAGCCAGUGAGAAAGGGAAAGGACACAGAGGAGCCACGCCCAGGCUCAAGGUCUGGGCACAGAUCACUUCCACUUGAGUCCAUUGGCAAGAACUGAAAUGUCAUAACACCUAACCGCAAGGGAGGCAGGGGACGUGUAGCUCAGCCACGCACCCGGAAAGAAGGAGAGAACGGGUCUGCAGGAGAGCUCAUGGCGUCCAGGGACCCUCCAAGCAAGAGGCAAACCCACCUGGGCAUCUGUCUGCGCACAGUGAGGAAGAUUAGCCCUGAGCUAACUGCUGCCAAUCCUCCUCUUUUUGCUGAGGAAGACUGGCCCUGAGCUAAAACAUCCAUGCCCAUAGUCCUCUACUUUAUAUGUGGGACGCCUGCCACAGCAUGGCAUGCCAAAUGCUGCCAUGUCCGCAUCUGGGAUCUAAACCAGCGAACCCUGGGCCGCCAAAGUGGAACGUGUGCACUUAACCGCUGUGCCACCGGGCCGGCCCCAGGAAAAGCUAUUUUUAUUGAGGUCACUUUCCUGUUCAUGAUGUUUCUUCUCCAUGCUUGCCCCUUCGUGUUUCUGUGAGAACAAUGAGGAAGGGAGUAUCAGCUGGCUGCCAACUAAAUAUGCCUGGGCUAGACUGUUGGAUGAUGAGAGACGCAUGGACCCACCAUCUCCCCAGAUGCCAGCCAGCCAGCUCCCAAAGUAGAGCCCCCUGCUGCCUUGGCAGCUGACUGUGGACGCAUGAGCAAGCCCAGCCAGGACCAGCAGAAUUGCUCAGCUGAUCCCAGUCUAAAUUGCUACCUUAUGGAUUGUGAGCUACAAAUAAACGGUGGUUGUUUUAAGCCGUUAAGUUUUGGGGUAGUUUGUUUCACAACAAAAGCGGAGCGUUACGGGAAGUAACCCAGAGAUUAGCAACAGCAGGGAGUCACUGCUAUGUUAGGCUGUAGAGACAAAGGGAGGAGGCAAUAUAGCCAGGGCCCAGAGCUCCCAAAAGAUGAGGAACGAGGCGUAGACAUAUCCCAUGGAGGCUCAGAGGAACAGAGUAGCUGGAGGAGAGGCAGCUGACUGCAGCAGACAGGGGGAAGAAAUACCCUGGCUUUUCGCUUUAUCUGCCCUCCAGUCUCCCACCAGGGCCUGCCAUCAGCUGAGCUCAGCUGGCAGCCAGUUGGGACGAGAGCCUGGAGAUGCAGACUUCAGGAGUCAGCCUUUCUGCAACAGAGAGCAGAGCCGGGGAAGGGCUGGGAAUGGAUCUGAGGGCAAACAGGCCCAGGACUGACACUACACAUCCUUUAGGGGAAAGAAAAGGAAGUGAGUUCACUGAUUGAACUUUCAAAACAGCGCAAUUGCAUUCUCUUCUUUGUGUUUUAUUCCCUGCUCAGGAAUUUAGCUCAAAAUAAAAAUGAAUUCUAGCAACUGGAGAACUGUGAUUGCAAGUGUCUCAACUUUUUACAAAAUAUUCAACCAAGCUGAAUUAGCCUAUUUAUAAAAUGUUGCACCCACAAUGCCCCAUCAAAACGCAAAUCAUCAAAACAGCCUGAAUGACGCUGGAGUUAGGUCAAAAAACACAGAAGUUUUAAAACACCAAUUUGGUUAAUUUUAAUUCAUUCAGCAACCAUUAAAAACUUUUUGUAUGCCGAUCAAGUACAAUGAAGGGUGAUGCCACAGAUUUGCACACACAUCUACACACAGAUAAUUGGAAUAUAGUACAGAUGUUGUCAUUGAGGUAUGAAGGUGGGGGUCAUUUAAGCUGGGUUUUGAAGAAUAAGUUAGAGUUCACCAGAUGGAAAAGAGAAAGAACAGUUUUUCAGGAGGAGUGUGCAAAGGUUCAGAGACAAGAUGUCAUAUUUAAGAAACUAUAAGUACUGUAGCUUGGUGUGGCUGGAACACUGAGUGUGGGAGGAAUAUGGAGAGAGAUGAGGCCAUAGAUGUGGCAGGGGCUAGACCAUAGAGGCCUUAAAUGUUGUGCUGAGGAGUUUGCCCUUUAUAGGCAAUUGGGAGACAUCAGUAUUUUUAUUUUAGUAGAUUUUUGAGAAUUAAAAAUAAUACAUGGGCACAUGUACGGUGACGGAUGGUAAUUAGUCUUUGGGUGGUAAGCAUGAUGUAAUCUACACAGAAAUCGAAAUAUAACGACGUACACCUGAAACUUAUGCAGUAUUAUAAGCCAAUGUUACCUCAAUUAAAAAAAAAUACAUGUUUAUUUUAAGGAGCUGAAAGAUGACAUAAAAGGUGAAAAGAGGUCAUGAUCUCUGCCCUCUUUUAUCCUUGAGGUAGCCAGGGCUAGUAAUCAGGACACAGCUUUCUCUUCUCCAGGGUUGGUUGGUUUUCUUAUUUGCUGUGGCUUGGAGUGCAAAAAAUACACUUAUUACUCUGCAACUUGCUUUUUUCCCUUAACAACAUGUGGACAUCACUCCAGAUGAGUUAGAUUUAACUCAAAUAUUUCUUCAGCCAUUCUCUUACUGGUGGGCAUUCAACUUGUCUGUUUUUAGCAGUUACAAUAAUAUUGUGGUAUGCCUCCUUGACGAUGAGUCUGGGGAUAUUGGGCUCUCGUUUCAGUAAAAUAGAUUCUGGGUCAAUGGAUGUUUGCAUUUUUUAUUUUAAUGGAUGUGUCUCAAUUACUUUUUUAAUAGGUUGCAGCUAUUCCUAUUUCUCAACACUGUCAAACAGAACUGGACAUUAACACUUUUUCACUUCUAAAUUUAGGCAAAUGUAAUGAAUGAAAGAAAGGCUGUAUUGGUUUAAUUUGCAUUUCCUUGACUUCUACUGACACUGAGCAUCUGAUCAUGCUUAUUGACAAUUUGCAUGUUCCCUUAUGUGAAUUGCCAGCUCAUUUUUCUAUUCAGUUGUCUUUUUCUUAUCAACUGGUAAAAGUUCUUUGAAUAUUAGUAAUUGUUAAUUUUUAUCCAUGUGUUUUGCAAAGGUUCUCAUUCCACCUCAGAUUAUCAGUUGCCUUUUUUUUUUUAAAAGUCUUUUUAUUUGGAAAUGAUUAGAAACUAACAGGGUGUUGUGAAAAUGCUAGAGUCCCAUGUACCUUCAGCCAGCUUCUCCCAAAGGUAGCAUCUUACAUAACUAUAGUGCAAUAUCAAAAC